ACUAGCCUCGGAUCCGAUGACUUAUUUGUGUUUUCUUCCGUCAAAUGGUGAUUUUUUUCGUUGAUUUCAUUUUUAUUUGUGGUCUUUUUCGUAUUUUUGUUUAUUUCGUAGAUUUCGGUCUUCUGUAUCUCUUCGUUGUAUCUUUGUAUUCUAUAAACAAAAAUAGUAUAAAAUAUGUUACCAAAAACAAUCUCUCACUAGAUGCUCCAAGCGUUUGUUUUCCCUCCAUUAAUUGUUUCUUUGAUCACUUGCUCGCUUCCUUGCCUUCCACUGUUCCACAAACCAAUUUCUUGAACUAUAUUGAACUUUUUUUAGCGCCUAUGGAUUCCGUGUAGCUAAUACAUUUAGAAGAUGUAUUGGUUCAUUUCGUAUUUGAGAAACCCUAACUUCGAUUAUGGAUGUAUAUUUCUUGAUUAAUCAAUCAGUUAUGUUAGGACGUUAGG